rnacentral:rRNA from 1 species
UACGUAGGGUGCGAGCGUUACUCGGAAUUACUGGGCGUAAAGCGUGCGCAGGCGGUUUGCCAAGCUCGAUGUGAAAGCCCCGGGCUUAACCUGGGAACUGCAUUGAGGACUGGCAAGCUCGAGUGCGGCAGAGGGGGGUGGAAUUCCACGUGUAGCAGUGAAAUGCGUAGAGAUGUGGAGGAACACCGAUGGCGAAGGCAGCCCCCUGGGCCGACACUGACGCUCAUGCACGAAAGCGUGGGGAGCAAACAGG